GACGAACGCUGGCGGCGCGCCUAACACAUGCAAGUCGAACGGAGCUGAGAGAAGCUUGCUUUUCUUAGCUUAGUGGCGAACGGGUGAGUAACGCGUGAGUAACCUGCCCUGGAGUGGGGGACAACAGUUGGAAACGACUGCUAAUACCGCAUAAGCCCACGAUCCGGCAUCGGAUUGAGGGAAAAGGAUUUAUUCGCUUCAGGAUGGACUCGCGUCCAAUUAGCUAGUUGGUGAGGUAACGGCCCACCAAGGCGACGAUUGGUAGCCGGACUGAGAGGUUGAACGGCCACAUUGGGACUGAGACACGGCCCAGACUCCUACGGGAGGCAGCAGUGGGGGAUAUUGCACAAUGGGGGAAACCCUGAUGCAGCGACGCCGCGUGGAGGAAGAAAGUUUUCGGAUUGUAAACUCCUGUCGUUAGGGACGAUAAUGACGGUACCUAACAAGAAAGCACCGGCUAACUACGUG
rnacentral:rRNA from 1 species